rnacentral:snRNA from 1 species
GUGAUCACCUCAGCAGCAUAUAUACUAAAAUUAGAAUGCUACAGAGAAAAUUAGCAUGGCCCUUGAGCAAGGAUGAUACACAAAUUCAUGAAAUAUUCCAUAGUUUU